rnacentral:miRNA from 1 species
GGUUGGGGAAAUCUCACUCUUAUAACCAGCAUCCCAUGUUUUUACAGUGGUUUGUUUUGUGUUUUUCCCCACC